ACAGAGGUCUCAAGCGUUGUUCGGAUUCAUUGGGCGUAAAGGGUGCGUAGGCGGCGGGGUAAGUCGGAUGUGAAAUCCCGGGGCUCAACCCCGGAACUGCAUUCGAUACUGCCUUGCUAGAGUACUGGAGAGGAGACUGGAAUUUACGGUGUAGCAGUGAAAUGCGUAGAUAUCGUAAGGAAGACCAGUGGCGAAGGCGAGUCUCUGGACAGUUACUGACGCUGAGGCACGAAGGCCAGGGGAGCAAACGGGAUUAGAUACCCCGGUAGUCCUGGCAGUAAACGGUGCAUGUUUGGUGUGGGAGGAUUCGACCCCUUCCGUGCCGGAGCUAACGCGUUAAACAUGCCGCCUGGGGAGUACGGUCGCAAGAUUA
rnacentral:rRNA from 1 species